CCCUCCAGCCCAGUUCAAGAAUAAGCCUGUGGAAAGUUACUUCUUCAAAAGCAAAAGUAUCUCAUAUCACCUCUUCUCAUUUUCUUCUCUUUAUCCUUCAUGCUGCCUGCAAGAUAGGGAGAAUGAGAACAAUCAGCCAGAACUCGAAAUCAAACUUCUGAUCUGGGAUUGAUUACUUGGAGCUCUGAUUGCUUACCUUGUCUGUCACCUCUUUCAGCAGAUCCCCUAGCUCGGCGACUUGGGGGACUCCUACUACAUGGUUUGUAUCGCGCUUGACCAAGCCUGAAACUACAAGUAAGCUUCAAGUGAAAUUGAUACAUUACCUUGUGCAUCUCCACCAGUUAAAGAUACCACCCCCGGAUGGAGGAAGAGUACUUCCAG
rnacentral:lncRNA from 1 species